CUCCGGGUCGGACACAGAGGCCGAGAAGUGCGUCUUAUACUCGCUGACACCCGCGCUGCUGCCGCUGCCCGAAGACAGAGAGCGGCGUCCCCCACCGACUCCUAGGCUGUCCCAAGGCCCCGGAGCCAGACUCCACAGGAGAAAAGUACCAUCCACCCACCCACUAACCCAUCCAAAAGGAUCUUUAGGGAAGUCAAAGUAGUCAUUCCUGGAGCAGAGGUCAGGAGGGAAUGCCUUCCAAGCAUGAGGAACCAGCUGGACAAAGGUGGAAGAGGUGAAGAAAGAAGUCAUGAACUUCUUGGCUAGAUGACUGGAGAAAAGACAGAAGUAAGAGGUAGAAUGGAGGUAGAAUUGGCAAGACUCAGCAACUGACUAAAUAUCUUGGCUUCAUGAGAAUUUAGAAGUUAAGGAUUACUCCAACAUGGUGGAUCUGGACAACUUGAAGUAAUGGUUAAACCCUUAACAGAAACAGGAUGAUUUAAGAGCUAGAACUUAUUGAAAGAAAUUUAUACCCAUAUCACUUAUUUUAAAUACUAUAACCAUUGUCUUUUACAAAAUAAGGGAUAAUUUUGAUCUUAAAGCCAAAUGAAACUAUCUCCCCCUGUUUUUCGAGUAGAAAAAAAAAAGUUGAUUUGGAUUCUGAUGGACAAAUAGCAUCUGGCACCAUAAAUAAGAAUCCUUGUUAUUGAACUAAGUGAAUCAGGGCAUAUUCCACUCUCAUAAUCUCAUCCCCUUAAUGUGAUAGAGACAUGAAGAAAGAGAGAUUUUGAAGGACUUGUGGACCAAGAUGCAAGAACCAGAGUUCCAACGGAAUGUUUCCAGUUGGUGGCAGUUUGAGCUGACAAUGGGGAGGUGACUGUCUCUGACUGGAAGUCACACUCUCUCUCCCUGGAUGUUUGAAGCUGGCUGAAAGACCUUUGUGAGACUGACUUGGUUUUGGGGGUUUCUCUGGCUCUGAGCAGUUGAAGUUGACACUGGGAAGAGAAACUUGGCUUUUGGACUUGGUCUCUGGCUCUCUGGCUCUGAGCAGUGGAAGCUGACCAGGGGAGAAGCUUUUGAGUUGGUGAUCUAUUUGAGAGUUGAGCUGGUCAGGAGAAACUUAGAGACUUUGAAUUUUGUUUUUCUCUGGGGUUGAAGCUGAGAAAGGAGACCAGCCAGACUAAAUUUGUGAAGAAGAAAGAAGAUUUUGAAAGGGCUGCUGUCCUCCAUCUCCCUAACUGUCUGAGUCACACUUGUGACUCCCCAAACCCUCAAUUUUACCUGAUUUAGAUUAGGGAAAUCCUCAUCCCUCUUACCCCAGUUUCCCAUCCUGUUAUCCUAAUAAACCCCUUGAUUUGAAAAA